CAAGAAACCCCAUGCUAAAAAUACACAGCAAUUCAACAUAAGCAAGCAUUCCCAUUUCAGGAAAUUAAACCAUUAUCCUUAACUGUUUAUUCCUGGAUCUCUCAGUAGUCUCUUAGGAAGAGACCACUGCAUAGAAAAUGCAACAAAGCGUGUUGGAGAGAUUGCUUUUCUUCUCCCGAUUAUUAAUUAUAUUCUUGCUGCUAGAAGCUUAUUCCUUGACAAUUCCUUCUUGACAGUCCUCUCCCCAUCUUUAGGCAGGACAACUUGUUCCAAAGACAGCAGUGCAUGGAGAGAAAUAAAAGCAUACAGUUUGCUGGUUAAUUUAAAGGAAUAAGAAAGGUAAUUGGGCUUUCACUAAUAGCAAACAAAAUCAAUUUUUUGUUCCGUGAACAUACAUAAAUUCCAACUAUGAUAUGGGGAAAGGUUUACAAUAAGGCGAGGAUAUGCUCUGAUCAUGCAGAAUUUUAAAGGCAGUUAAUCCAAAGGAAGCCUCUGAGGAAUAAUUCACCAAUUGAUCUGGACAACGAAAUGGGACAUAGCAUAUGAAGUAUGAAAUAAUAAUGUGGAGGGUGAUGGUGAUGGUAGGGAGAUAUCUAAUUUCAUAGGCAGUACUAUUGUCUGUUGUUUUAGUUGUAUUUUCUGUUUCCAGGCCUCCUAGGAAAGUGGCAGACUUUCGUGUCUCAAAUUUCAGUGGUGCCCUGUGUGAUGCCAAAAUCUGGUGCUGUUGUAUGUCAAAGUUGCACACACACACCCCUCAGCACCCCAGAAGUUCCACACCUUGUGUGACCACACCAGUUGUACUCCCCUAGAUCCGCCUUUGCCUAGGAAAGCAGGUCACCAACCUUUGGGGGCCAGUGAGCAUAACUGGAAUUUUGAGAAAAUGCUGUGGGUACCAGUCACAAAAUGGUUGUCAUGGGGGAUGACACGUCACAAAAUGGCUGCCACAUCUGAGAGAUCAGGAUAAGAGACAGGACCACAAAAUAGUGCAAACACGCUUUCCCAUCAAUGAGGACUAGAGUUGCCACUAAACUUGCUCACAGAGACAAGCUCUUUGUUUGGACCAGAUUUGGGGUGGGGACUGCCAUCCAAGGAAAUGUAGGGCAUGUUUAAGGCAGCAUGUUCAGUGUAGGAUAGGCUAAGCCAGUGCAAAUAGGAACUGAGCAGGAAGAGCAAACAUUCUCUUGUGUGGUGUGGGUUUUUCAAAGGGGAUAUUUACCAAAACUUUUGCAGGCACCAUGUGGGGUACUGGUGGGCACACUGGUGCCCACAAGCACCAUGUUGUUGACCCCAAGUCCUAGGAUCCUACUUUAUUACAAACUACUGAAGCCUUUGGGCAGUCCAUGCUGGGGAGUUUUGACACAAUAGCUCCAUCUGUACAAGCAAUGACAGGAUACUAACUACAUCGUAUCUGUGCCAUAUGGGCUUGCUAAAGCCAAGCAGUCUGGCACUGAGGAUAAAAUGGCAGCUGGGGAGUGGGAGGGAAGCACUAUGGAUUCUGCCUUGAGUUCUUUCUAGGAAAGGUGGGAUAAGAAGUGCAAAAAGGAAAGCAAGGUUGCUGAAAGGGUUUUGGAGCAGGUUUAGAUUUAAGUGUGUGGAAGCCCUCAUACUGAUCUCAGAAUCAUGUCUUAUCUAUUUUCCAUUCCAAUUUGUUUAGAUAUGGAGGAGGAAAGGGAGCCCUAAACACAACCCAAGGAAGCCAAACUAUGAUCUGAACAGGACCCGUAUCUGUUCACAAGGUGAACACUAGCAUCAUUGAAUAAUAUAAUACACCAUGGUCGCUGAACUGGGUUUUCCCAGUAGUCCCCCUGACAAUUCGCACCUCUUAGAGUUUCCC